UACGGAGGGUGCAAGCGUUAAUCGGAAUUACUGGGCGUAAAGCGCACGUAGGUGGUUUGUUAAGCUAGCUGUGAAAUCCCCGGGCCCAACCUGGGCACUGCAGUUAGAACUGGCAAGCUAGAGUAGGGUAGAGGGGUGUGGAAUUCCAGGUGUAGCGGUGAAAUGCGUAGAUAUAGGAAGGAACAUCAGUGGCGAAGGCGACCACCUGGACCAAUACUGACACUGAGGUGCGAAAGCGUGGGGAGCAAACGGGAUUAGAUACCCCUGUAGU
rnacentral:rRNA from 1 species